ACGGAGGAUCCGAGCGUUAUCCGGAUUUACUGGGUUUAAAGGGUGCGUAGGCGGGCGGUUAAGUCAGCGGUGAAAUGCGGGGGCUCAACCUUCGAACGGCCGUUGAUACUGGGCGGCUGGGAUUCGGUCGAGGCGGCCGGAAUGUGUCAUGUAGCGGUGAAAGGCUUAGAGAUGUCGCAGAACGCCGAUGGCGAAGGCAGCUCGCCGGGCCGUUAGUGACGCUGAGGCACGAAAGCGUGUGGAUCGAACAG
rnacentral:rRNA from 1 species